rnacentral:rRNA from 1 species
AACGAACGCUGGCGGCAUGCUUAACACAUGCAAGUCGAACGCCCCGCAGGGGGAGUUGCAGAUGGGUGAGUAACGCGUGGGAACAUACCCUUUCCUGCGGAAUAGCUCCGGGAAACUGGAAUUAAUACCGCAUACGCCCUACGGUGGAAAGAUUUAUCGGGGAAGGAUUGGAUCGCGUUGGAUUGGCUAGUUUGUUGGGUAAAGGCCUACCAAGGCGACGAUCCAUAGCUGGUCUGAGAGGAUGAUCAGCCACAUUGGGACUGAGACACGGCCCAAACUCCUACGGGAAGCAGCAGUGGGGAAUAUUGGACAAUGGGCGCAAGCAUGAUCCAGCCAUGCCGCGUGAGUGAUGAAGGCCUUAGGGUUGUAAAGCUCUUUCACCGAUGAAGAUAAUGACGGUAGUCGGAGAAGAAGCCCCGGCUAACUUCGUG